UACGUAGGCAGCGAGCGUUGUUCGGAGUUACUGGGCGUAAAGGGUGCGUAGGCGGUUGUUUAAGUUUGGUGUGAAAUCUCCCGGCUCAACUGGGAGGGUGCGCCGAAUACUGAAUGACUAGAGUGCGGGAGAGGAGAGUGGAAUUCCUGGUGUAGCGGUGAAAUGCGUAGAUAUCAGGGGGAACACCGGUGGUGUAGACGGCUCUCUGGACCGUAACUGACGCUGAGGCACGAAAGCGUGGGUAGCAAACAGG
rnacentral:rRNA from 1 species